GAAACUCACCAGGUCCAGACACAAUGAGGAUUGACAGAUUGAGAGCUCUUUCUUGAUUUUGUGGGUGGUGGUGCAUGGCCGUUCUUAGUUGGUGGAGUGAUUUGUCUGCUUAAUUGCGAUAACGAACGAGACCUUAACCUGCUAAAUAGCCCGUAUUGCUUUGGCAGUACGCCGGCUUCUUAGAGGGACUAUCGGCUCAAGCCGAUGGAAGUUUGAGGCAAUAACAGGUCUGUGAUGCCCUUAGAUGUUCUGG
rnacentral:ncRNA from 1 species